rnacentral:rRNA from 1 species
UAAGACAUGCAAGUCGAACGGAAGUACGUUGUAAUGAUGUGGACAUGAACAGAGAACUAGUUCAAGGGAAUGGAAAUUGACUUACAACAAUGGCUUUAGUGGCGGACUGGUGAGUAACACGUAAGCAACCUGCCUAUCAGAGGGGAAUAACAACGAGAAAUCGUUGCUAAUACCGCAUAUGCCAUAGAGGAGACAUCUCCACAGUGGGAAAGGAGUAAUCCGCUGAUAGAUGGGCUUGCGUCUGAUUAGCUAGUUGGUGUGGUAACGGCAUACCAAGGCAACGAUCAGUAGCCGGACUGAGAGGUUCAACGGCCACAUUGGGACUGAGAUACGGCCCAGACUCCUACGGGAGGCAGCAGUCGGGAAUAUUGCGCAAUGGAGGAAACUCUGACGCCAGUGACGCCGCGUAUAGGAAGAAGGUUUUCGGAUUGUAAACUAUUGUCGAUGAGGAAGAAAAGGACAGUACUCAUCAAGAAAGCUCCGGCUAACUACGUGCCAGCCGCAGC